rnacentral:piRNA from 1 species
AAAUUGUUCUCUUAGCAUCCUUGAGG